GGGUAGUUUCCCUGCGCAAGUCCUUUUUUCCCCUGCUGCCAUCCAUUUAAGAUGUGACUUGCUCCUCCUUGUCUUCUGCUAUGAUUGUGAGGCCUCCCCAGUCACAUGGAACUCAAAGCUAGAGGAAACCAAAGUCGUAGAACAUCUGAACUCUGUCCAAACUUCGGUUGUAUUUCAAAAUUUCAGACUGAGUCUCUUUCUGU